UACGUAGGGCGCAAGCGUUAUCCGGAAUUAUUGGGCGUAAAGAGCUCGUAGGCGGUUUGUCGCGUCUGCCGUGAAAGUCCGGGGCUCAACCCCGGACUUGCAGUGGGUACGGGCAGACUAGAGUGUGGUAGGGGAGACUGGAAUUCCUGGUGUAGCGGUGAAAUGCGCAGAUAUCAGGAGGAACACCGAUGGCGAAGGCAGGUCUCUGGGCCACUACUGACGCUGAGAAGCGAGAGCGUGGGGAGCGAACAGG
rnacentral:rRNA from 1 species